GUGCCCCAGGUUUCCAAGGAGCUGAUCUGCAUGUACACAGGUAGUGUUCCCAGGCACGGAGGACGCAAAUGGGCUCGCAGUUCAUUAAACACCAAGUGGGCCCCAGGAGACAGUAGCCUCCUGUAAAGAAAAGAACCAGAGGUCCAGAAAAUUUCCUGCCCUUGCUGCCAGAGAAAUUUACUAUGUCUCCAAGUAUAAGUGAGGGUUCUGAAGUCCAGAGAGGUGAUUUUUCCAGGGCUGCAGCUAGCCAGUGACAGAGCACAGACCUGGACUUCCUGACAUCCCACCUCCACGGUCUCCUGCUCCUGCCUACGUUUGGACACCAAUAACCCUCGUCUGUCUGAAGUUAAACUUCUUGUGAUUGCUUUGGGAAACGAUAACUGAAUUAAAAAGGAGUUGGCAGU